CAGAGAGCUAUUACAGCGCUAUUAGAAUUUUUUCUAGUAGGUUUUUUGACUUUGGUCAGAAAACCCAA
rnacentral:snRNA from 1 species